rnacentral:rRNA from 1 species
CCUACGGGCGGCAGCAGUGGGGAAUAUUGGGCAAUGGACGCAAGUCUGACCCAGCAACGCCGCGUGAAGGAAGAAGGCUUUCGGGUUGUAAACUUCUUUUAAGGGGGAAGAGCAGAAGACGGUACCCCUUGAAUAAGCAUCGGCUAACUCCGUGCCAGCAGCCGCGGUAAUACGGAGGAUGCGAGCGUUAUCCGGAUUUAUUGGGUUUAAAGGGUGCGUAGGCGGGUUAUCAAGUCAGCGGUAAAAUCGUGGAGCUCAACUCCAUCCAGCCGUUGAAACUGAUGAUCUUGAGUGGGCGAGAAGUAUGCGGAAUGCGUGGUGUAGCGGUGAAAUGCAUAGAUAUCACGCAGAACUCCGAUUGCGAAGGCAGCAUACCGGCGCCCGACUGACGCUGAAGCACGAAAGCGUGGGUAUCGAACAGGAUUAGAUACCCUAGUAGUC